rnacentral:misc_RNA from 1 species
CUGCGCAGCCCCGACCCACGCCGUCCCGUUGGUGCUUGGAUAGCCCCAUGCUGCGUCGUCGAUCUGCGCAGUUCUACCGUCUCCGCAUCUCGCUUCGCCAGGUCUACGCAGUCCCUACGUGCCGUCGUCAAAACCCGUGCCCUUGUCGUCGUCACGCCUCGCGCAUCGCUCCUCGGCAAAGAGCCUAAACUGAUGGGAUGCAUGCGUAACUCCAAUCGGAUUUCGGCCAGGAAUAUAUGCGAUGUGUUGUUUGAUGCGAAGACUAAGUUUAAAUAA